rnacentral:rRNA from 1 species
CCAGACUCCUACGGGAGGCAGCAGUGGGGGAUAUUGCACAAUGGGGGGAACCCUGAUGCAGCGACGCCGCGUGGGUGAAGGAGCGUUUCGGCGCGUAAAGCCCUAUCGGCAGGGAAGAAGGAGGACGGUACCUGACUAAGAAGCCCCGGCUAACUACGUGCCAGCAGCCGCGGUAAUACGUAGGGGGCAAGCGUUAUCCGGAUUUACUGGGUGUAAAGGGAGCGUAGACGGCAGCGCAAGUCUGAAGUGAAAUGCCGGGGCUUAACCCCGGAACUGCUUUGGAAACUGAGCAGCUAGAGUGCAGGAGAGGUAAGUGGAAUUCCUAGUGUAGCGGUGAAAUGCGUAGAUAUUAGGAGGAACACCAGUGGCGAAGGCGGCUUACUGGACUGUAACUGACGUUGAGGCUCGAAAGCGUGGGGAGCAAACAGGAUUAGAUACCCGAGUA